UUUAAAGGUAAGCUAAUCUCUUAAGCUGUUGGGCUCAUAACUCAAAAAUAGUUUUUCUCCUUUAAA
rnacentral:tRNA from 1 species